GUUUACCGGCGUUGUCGCGAGCUUCUUGAGCGGCCGUCAAACGCAACGGGCACGUCUAAUGGACAUUCGUUAUUUUUCGGCAACAAGGCAGGAUCAUUCCCUGGCGGUGGCAGCAGCAGACCCGUCGAGGCCACCGCAUUCCCGCGGAACCGCUAAUCAAAUGUGAGUCCGCUAUUUGUGCCGCGCCAAACGUUACCUUUCAAGUUACGCACACACUGAAAUAAUAAGCGACUUUUAAACGAACCAAGGCUGUGCAGUUUCCAAACGUCCUGCUUGUCUAAACAGAGGUAGUGGGGGGGGGGGGGAUUUUUGUUGUUGUAAAGGGAAGUGGUUGGGUGGUGGUGGUGGCGGCGGCGGAAAGAAAUGUGAGUUCAUUAUUUCUUUCACCAAUUGUUUUUCUCCUCCUCCUCCCCCUGUAGAGUAGCAGCUGAGGCUGAGAUCAUUUGUUAGCGGCGCCGGGGAUAACCCCGAGACGAGCGGUGACUGUGGGGCCGGGGAGCCAUCCCCACGAGCCGCCUGCCGUGCCGACAUCCCUCGCCUGGCAGCGGCAGGGUCGCCUCCCUCCCCCACACUCGCCCCUGAGCCCCUUCCUGAUCAAAUAAUUGCCGUGUUUUUCGACGUCCCCCCUUUGCCACCCCCCAACCCUCCCUUCUUGCCAGUUACAAAUGCCAGCGGAUUUAAGUGCGUCUGUGCAUGAUAACAGAACGGCAAAAAUGGAACAAAGUAAAUAAUCAAAAAUUGGCUAAAACUAUUUUGGUGUUAAUUUUGUAAAAAAAUAAUCCACGUGGUUUUUGUGUGCCACUUACUGAAAGAUCCAUUUACCGUAAGUUGUUCAUUCGUAAGUGUUUGUGGGGUUUUAUUUUUUUGCUUCAAGGAGCCAUUCUUCGAGCAGACGAAGGUCUCGUUUUGUUUGUUGAAGCGAAUCGAGAACGGGAAGGGACAAGUGGCACGUGUUCGCAUGGCUCGAGGAUGGCUCUAAGAUAUGCGCGCACCACACCCACUUAAAGGUACAACCCGAGAUCCUGCGCACAAAUACAUUCUAAGUACCCGUCUAAAAUAAUACAUUCUAAACGAACGGUUGUAUGUAUUGCCGUAGCAAAGAAAUGCCUUUUAAACAAUCCCACUCAAUUGUCGACCAACGAAUCAUCACCUCGUGUGUUGUAUUAAGUGGACGGCUCGAUUUUUGUUGGGACGGACCUGUCAUGGAUUAUUGAUGCACAUCUGAAACAAAGCUUGGUUGAUCAGCAGUCCUCGUUCAUCUGCAGAUGGAGAUCCAAGUAACUUGGUGCGGCAUCCCACGCCGUCCGUGUCGCCUCCCUCUCUCAAAUCAAGGUCGCGUUCACAAUGCCGCUGCCGUAAACGGGACGUCAUUGCCCUGGUUUUCCAAGCGAUCCCAGAUUUUUUUUUGAGGAUGUCAUUAAAAGGCAGAUUCCGCAGCCCUGUGAUUUGCAUGCCGACGGCACUUUUGGAAAGUCCCUUCUAUAGAGCAUUUUGCUCCACUCGUCCACGCCGGCCAGAUGGGAUACCCACACUUUACCCCACCACACGUGACCUGACAAUCGUAGAACUGUGGUAAACCCAUCGAUACUGCUGGGUGGACAGAGUUGGGUUGGUGGUGGUGGGGGGGACACCUCCAUUGUUUCAACUGCUGAGAUUUUCUCAGCUCAUGCGUGCGGAAAAAUUUCCCCGGUUACUAUGUUGACAUCAAUUACGCACACAAUGGCCCCUACAUUGUUCGUUGCUGGAGGUUUAAUUUGAAAACGGUUGUAUAAUACGGCACGCAACGUACAUCUUUCAGUUGAAGAGCUCGCGACAAUACUGUUUGUACAGAAUUAUGAUAAUGUACAAACCUCCACUGUGUCAUUAAUGAGGCUUUGUUUAACCAUACUUCACCACGUACGAGAGUGGAGAUGUGUGAAGAGGACGGGUGCCCAGCAUCGGUCGUGGCCGGACUAAGCUAGUGCGGGGCCUGUAGCAUGAUGUUAUAAAGGGGCCCUAAAUAAAUAAAUAAACACACAAAUAUUAAAAUACACAUUUUUUACUUGCAUAGUAAAGUAAUUGUAUUUUUUCCAUUUGCUAUACAACCAGAUAAUACGACACAUCGCUAACCUUAAACACCCAGUCGUUCAUAAAAGCCGAAGGCGGUAUAGUACUAUAGUAAUAGAGCAAGUGCAGAAUCACCCAACCGGACUUGAUCGCUUGAAAGCAUUUAGCGCGGGGCCCUUGAAAGUGCGGGACCCGUAGCAUUUGCUGCUUUUGCUACUGGGAUCAUCCGGCACUGGGUCGAACCCAGGUGUCAAGGAGUCGGCGGCGCCGCGAGCGGACAGCUGUGCGCAGCGCUCCUCUCCUCUGUUUUUACACGCGGGACUGCACUAUGAUCGACAGAGGACUACGCUGGUGCGUGACGUCAUUUAUGGACGGCCCCCUAUCACCGACCCGCGCCGGCCAGCACGCUGCAGUAUGGCUCAGCAACUCCACGUGGCCAACACGCAUGGGGAGUCGUUCAUCCAGCAGCGGAUCGGCAAAGGGCUGUAAGCAAGAGUAAUCGUAAUAAUUGUUUUUUUACCCUUUUAUCUGGCAACAAAACUGACACCUUUUUUACAAGGAGUCAUGUUUGCAUUGACCACAAUACCUGCAGUCGAAAUGCAAACAAAAAACAUAACUCUGAUAAUGUAUGCACUGUCCUUGAAGUUGAUUGGUCCACACCCGAGACAGCUUUCUUUAGAGCCUCGUCUCACAUGGUGUUGGAUCAGAUGACGCCAAAAGGCGCACAACUCAAGGACAAUGCACCAUCAGAGUAUGAGAGCUCGGGGUAAGCAUUUACACCAUUGGAACCUCAUUUGCCAGUAGCAAAAUAUGAUAAUUGUUUUUUUACCCUUUUAUCUGGCAACAAAACUGACACCUUUUUUACAAGGAAUCAUGUUUGCAUUGACCACAGUUUUGUUGCCAGAUAAAAGGGUAAAAACCCAAUUAUCAUAUUUUGCUGCUGGCAAAUGAGGUUCCAAUUGAGUAAUCGUAAUGUAGAGUAGAACCCCUCUUAACGACGGUCAUUGGUUCCACGAAACGGGUCGUUGAGUGAUUUGGUCGCGAAGCGAGUACAGGAAAUACAGUUUAAAGGCGUAAUUCGUUCCGAUAGCAUCGACAUUUAUCCUUUUUCAACCAAAACAAGUACUUUCUAAUAUUUAAACAACGGAUAAUAAUACAUAAUAAUGCAUUGUAAACGCAUAAUAUUAUCAGAAACAUGGUUAAUCAAUAAAUUAAUUAACAGUUACUGUACCUACUAAAGCCCGUCGUUAACAGGGAAUUGGUCGGUAAGCAAACACAUUGGGCUCUGUGGAGGCACUACAGUAAUAUACACUACACUAUACACUACACUAUGCACUACACUAUGCACUGCACGACAAUACACUACACUAUGCACUACACUAUACACUACACUAUACACGACACUAUGCACUACACUAUAUACUACACUAUACACUACACUAUACACUACACUACUAUACACUACACUACUAUACACUACACUAUACACUACACUAUACACUACACUACUAUAAACUACACUAUACACUACACUAUACACUGCACUACUAUACACAACACUAUACACUACACUAUACACUACACUAUACACUACACUGCUAUACACUACACUAUACACUACACUAUACACUACACUACUAUACACUAAACUACUAUACACUACACUACUAUACACUACACUAUACACUACACUAUACACUACACUACUAUACACUACACUACUGUACACUACACUAUGCACUACACAUUGGGCUUUAUGGAGGCCCAUCGUAAGCGAUUAGUCGUUCACAGGGGUGGUCGUUAAGAGGGGUUCUACUUUGUAUAUACUCUGUAGUUUUUUUCUUCUCGACUGUAUUAAUCGCGAUGAAAUCAAGAUGAGAGGGUGAUGCCACUGAAAAAGCACAUUGCAUCCAGAUGCAUGGUGUGGUACACGGAGCUCUUGGUGAGACGGGCUUUCUUGGCACAGAAAACACAUUAGCACAUUAAAGGCAGAGCCGUUUCCAAACUAAACCACAGAGCUGAAAUGUCCCUGGCUGAAAGCAUGGGUAAUGUAAUAAUUGUUUACAGCACACAAAAGUAACAGAAUGAAGGGGUAAUACAUGGCGUGUUUUUGAUGCUUUAUUUUUUUGUAUAAUUGAGGGCAGGUACUAUCGACAGACAUGUUGCUCUAUAAAUAACAACGUUAACGUAAUACAACUUAGACGGCAGUCAAGUAACACAUUUCCCCAACAGUAAAAAUAGCAAAUGGCUUUGUUAAAACGGCUGCUUUCACCAUCAAGAACAUAUAUUGCUUCUUAGAUUUUUCUUCUGCCAAUGUGACAAAUCCACUUAAGCACGUUGAUGUCAAUCGCCUGGCGGUGGUGACGACCCACGUGACUCGCGUGGCUCCAGGGUUGGUGGGUCACCACACACAUUUGGCGAAACUCCAUUCCCUGUGUGCGUCGAAGAGACGCCGUGGAGAAUGUGGACCAGACGUCACCCGUCCCUUCUGCACGGGGAUCGAGCGUUGCCACCUCGCACGCGCGGGUUUUCUCCCACACUUAUCAAAACUAAUCAUUCGUUGGCUGAAUUAUUUUUGUUUAUCCAUGCGCGGCCGCCUCUGCUCCGCGUUUGCGGAUUGCGCAGCGUUGUGCGGUGCGGUUGCAUAAGUGGCGCUGAUUUACACGUUGUAAAGCUUGAAUUUGUAAUUAAAAUAUUAGAUUAAUACAUGUGAUUAACAUUGACUUUGGACUGGAUGCAAGGUAUUCUGGUAAGGAUUUUAUUUUUCUCUUUCUACCCGUUAGGAACAUUUGGACCACAGUCAUUCAAUAUGGUCCGAAAAGAGCACAACACGCUCAAGAAUAACACUGUGGCCGUAUUAGGCAGAUGUGCUGUGAAGAAGGUUCGUUGCCCAAAACGUCGUCUAUUAUAUGUUAUUUCAUUCAAGGCAGUGUUUUCGACAAAUGUGUUCAGUUUUUUUUGGUGGAUGUUGCAUGCUAUGACGUUUUAUGAACCCACAUUGGCCCGCACUGGGACACUGAGAUCAUUGGAUGAAAUUGCACCUCAUGAAUUUCAAUGAUUAUUAAUAUUAAUAACUGCCUAAGCCUACCGACUCAGUCUUCAUACUCUUUUGCCAGAGCGUCCUGAUAACUUUUCACACCUGACGACUGCCACGUGUUUCAUAAUUAAGUAAUUUGCGAUUAAUUAUUGAUUGCAAAUUUGGACCGUGGCGCUGACACAACAUGAAGGGGCAGCAUG